GGAAGUUAACAAACUGUUUAUUAACUUUUAACUAAAAAAACUAAGAACCGGUUCUUAAAUAAAGACUUUAAGAACCGGUUCUUAGCUUUUUUAGUUAAAAGUUAAGAAAUCGUAUCGUUUCUUAAUUUCC
rfam:Brassica oleracea var. oleracea cultivar TO1000 chromosome C1, whole genome shotgun sequence